rnacentral:lncRNA from 1 species
AAUAGUGUCAGCCUUCUGUCAUCAUAUUCAAAUGUCAAAUGAAAGGUACCCUCAGCAGGAGUGGUAAAUACUUCAGCUCCUGGCUCAAAGUGGGGAGAGAGGUCAACCACCUUGCUGUUUGCUUGGCACCAUGUUCGAGCUUUUCUAAUAGCUAUUUUGAAGCUAUGUUGGGUUGCUCGCAAAUCAUCCUGGUUUAGUAUAACUCUAGCAGUAUUUCCAGGGUAGUUUUGAUCACGUGGCUCUUUCUUCUUUUUACAAUUGCUAAUGUAAGGUGUAUUGUGAAUUGAUCUCACAGUACUUGUCACCUGGAGGAAACUGAUAGAAACAUGAGUCACACAGACUAGUAAAAUAUAAAGAAAAGUGAAGAAUUCUUAAAAAUAAUUGGAUGACAUUGACGAAUUUGUUAGCGUGAUUCAUGCUUAGAACCUUAAAUAAAGAAAUGAUAAAUAAUGGAGAAAUCACAUUUGUGUGUUUCAGAAUAUCCAUAAACUCAUUAAUCAAUAGGUAUUUCAUUAA